rnacentral:rRNA from 1 species
AACGCGAAGAACCUUACCUGGGCUCGAAGCGCAGUGGAUAUGGGUGGAAACAUCCCUUUCUCGCAAGAGACUGCUGCGGAGGUGCUGCAUGGCUGUCGUCAGCUCGUGUCGUGAGAUGUUGGGUUAAGUCCCGCAACGAGCGCAACCCUUAUCGUUAGUUGCCAGCGAGUCAAGUCGGGCACUCUAGCGAAACCGCCUCGGAUAACGGGGAGGAAGGUGGGGAUGACGUCAAGUCAUCAUGGCCUUUAUGUCCAGGGCCACACACGUGCUACAAUGGGCGGUACAAAGCGCUGCCAACCCGCGAGGGGGAGCUAAUCGCCAAAAACCGUCCUCAGUUCGGAUUGCAGGCUGCAACUCGCCUGCAUGAAGCUGGAAUCGCUAGUAAUGCUAUAUCAGAACGAUAGCGUGAAUACGUUCCCGGGCCUUGUACACACCGUGUCGA